rnacentral:lncRNA from 1 species
CUCCAACUUGGUGCAGUUGCCAAUCGAAGCGGGCAAAACUCCAGACAACAUAUUCUCAUGCAACCACAAGUCCGUAAGGCUUGUCAUUUCACCAACCGAGAAGGGGAUCGAACCACUGAGCUGAUUGGAAUGGAGGUACACUUGCUCCAGAAACUGGUUCUUGAACAACUCCUCUGGUAUAGUUCCACUCAGCGAGUUGCUGUACAGUGACAGAAAUGACACCCUCUUGAGGUUUCCCAUUGAAGCUGGUAUAUUGCCAGAAAAGAAAUUUUGGGACAGAUCCAAUUGUUCAAGCAUACUGCAGUUCCCCAAUUCCGGAGGGAUUGAACCAGAUAUGUUGUUACCAGAUAAACUGAGAAUUUGCAGGUAUUUCAGACGACAUAUUUCAGGUCCUAGUGAACCUGAAACUCCUGAUGAUGACAGGUCAAGGGAAACCACUCUGUUCCUUUUAUUGCAACUAACUCCAUUCCAUGUACAUGGAGUUGCAUCAGAAGCACUCCAGCUAGAACUUACGGAACUUGGUAGUAUGAGAUUUUUCGACAGAGCAAGAAGAGCUUGGCCAUCUGAACUCAAACUCCAAGUUGAUGCAACAAAAGUGAAGAAUAGCGAAAUCCAAGGCCAGAAAACCAGCCUCAUUUUGUCCCUGAAAAGGUUUGAUAAAAGUCAGUGGAUAAUUAAGUUUUUCUAUAUACAAUUAGGUUGUAGGCUAAAGCACUAAAUUAAUACGAAUUAUAUAUGUACAAGUGUUGUCAUUAACCCCCAAGUAUGUUGCUGUGAAUUUUUGCAACUUUACCAUCUUAAAAGUAAGUGAACCCCAUGUCUUUGAAGAAACCAUGCCUCUAAUUCUUAAACCACGUGCUUGAAAAUUCUAUCAGUUUAGUAGAAUUUACUCAUACAUUGGUACAAUUUAAGUGAAUCCAACCUGCGCCCAUCGACCAUGAAUUAAACCUCUUGGCAAUUCAGAUAACUGAACUAGCAGGGAAGCAAAAUGCAGGAUGCCAGAACCACCCCCAACCUAAUUUCUGUUCUCGUGGCGAACUCAAAUACUAGAGACGCUAGAAGCAAUAGAACGAACAAUUUUAAUCAGAAAGCACAUUUAGUUCUCCAAAGCCGUUGUCAAGUAGUUAUAAAGAGGGAACACACUUGCUAAAAGGGGCCUGAAACAGUGUCGGACUAAAUAGGAGAAGAUACGACAACGCCGAUCUCGUGUUGAAGCAACGCCACACCGAUUCGCGAGAUGGGAUCAGAGCUCGAACGCAGAAGCAUUUCCCCUUUUCUAAUUCGAUGGUAAACGCGCACGCGUGCGCUGCGUCCGCCACCACAUGGGAACCUUGAAUGGCUGCAGAAUCCACCGACACCACCCCGAGCAAGAAAACCUCCGAUGCAGGCGGAAGCAUGGCUCGAGCUCAAAAUUGGCACCCAGAAAAGCUUAUUUCAGCGAGCUACGAAGGGAACCGCCACCGAAUUCGCUUCACCGUUGAGCAUUACUCUUGAAAACCUAGCGGAAAAGCAUCGAAUUGGGGGAGCCCGUGUGCAGGCAAGAACCCGGCGGGAAAUGAGGCCCAUCCAGGCGGGCAAUGCAGGAGGAAUAAACCCAAGGAGCGGCGGUUCGUCAGGGCAAGCGAAAGAUUCCGUCACCUACCGGUGGCUAGAAGAACAAGCAACACGCAGGGAAGCAUAAGCUGUAACUGCGCGCCAGGCCGCCCAAGCAGAGGGGGAGAGCGAGCAAGGGAGAGGGAGGGCAGCGCGUACCGGAGUAACUUGGUGCUCGAGGACGAAGCUCCUGGGGGCUCGGCUUGAGAGGGUGGCACGCUAAUCCGUAGCGGCAUCCAUGGCGGACGAGAGAGAGAGAGAGAGAGAGAGAGAGAGAGAGAGAGAGAGAGAGUACGCUGGACUGCAAAGGAGGCAGGAGGAGCAAGCAGGCAGAGCCGCAGAGGGUGGCCGUUCCUGAGCAAGCACGGAACGCGUUUGGACAGGGAAGGCGGUUGCAGGCUGCAGUAAUCGCAAGUGCGGGAGGGGGCACACCGGCACCGGCGGCACACUAUGAUGCGACGAACAACCACCUCUCCUGCGAGCGGUUCACACACACGUACCGGGAGCGCGUCCUGGCUCGGUGGCUCCAGGAGUUCCAGUGGUCAGCAACCACUUUGUCUCAAUUCAUAUGUAACAAACUUUGUUCCUGCGCUUAUACUUCAAUCACUCGACAACGACGGUCAAGCACUAAACAAAGCCCCACAAGCAGGUUCGGCGAAACGAGAAGGGAAGGUUGAUACAAUUUGCCCUCGUGAUUGUUGUUAGGUGUGAACGCAAGCCUCACACAAUCACACUAUCAUGGAGCGAUAGGGGCGAAGCGUGCACGAGAGUCUGAAUAAUCUGAAACGCCUAGUCCAUUUCGUCAAAGCGAAGUGUCAACAUGAAUUGCUGGCUGCGGCAAAGCCAUACAAUCAGUUGACAGUGUUGCCAUUCUAUGACCACGUAAGUAACAAGAAAAGUCUUUUGAUCUAAAUAACAAGAAAAAAAUUGAUGCAUCUACCGAUCCAUUUAGCUCAACAAGCAAUGUCAGGUGGUCAUAUAUGUAGAGAGACGUAUGUGCUAUAUAGAUGAUGGGCAAAAUAGGUAUUUUGGUUCCUAAACUUUACACCAAGAGUCAAGUUCAUCUCUCAACAUUUAUAUAGGUCAAUUUAGUCCCUCAACUUUUAUUUUCGGGUCAAACUCAUCCUUGUACUGAUGUGGUGCUAUAUUUUAGUAUGAGAGUAAUGUGAAAAGUUCAUUUCACCCUUAGCUCAGCUCAUGUAGGUCAAACGUGUAUAUGCUCAUGCUCCCUUGAUACAUACAUAAUAAUAUAUCUUUUAACUGAUAUAAAAUAUUAGCUUCUACAAAAGUAUAUCCACAUACUCUGUAAAAUUAUGUAUGUGCUCAUACAAAUUAAAUUUUGAUAUGCAAAAUGUAUGUACUUAUAUUCUUUUAUGAUAUAUACAACUUAAUGUAUGCACACAUACUCUAAAGUUGGCAUGUGCACAUAUACUCGUGGUACGGUAUACAUGCUCUAUAUACGUAUUCAUACUUUCUUGGUAAACAUAUAUAUUUGGUACCGUGGAAAUUGAGGGGGGAGCUAAGGGUAAAAAUAACUUUUUUAUUAAUUUUUCAUACUAAUAUGGAGUCCAUAUCAGCACAUGGACAUGUUUGAUAAAAAAACAAAAGUUAAGGGAUUAUAUUAGCCAUUCUGGAAGUUAAGACCCUUGGUGCAAAAUUCAGGGACCAAAAUGUUGAGAGAUUCAUGCAUAGAUUAAAGUCAUUCAUAUCUAACAUAUAUAACCACUCUUUUGGAAGUGGAACUGUUGGAGGCAUCCCAACUUUGUUCCGGCGCCAAUACGUUACCUAUCACACUGAGCAGAGCCAGAGGAAACGGCACAGCUCUGAUACAGAGUGUGAUACCAUUCGUUCUCGUGGUGUUUUAGCUAAACGAAAGCUUAUACCAUAAUAACAUAAUACAUCAGAUGGCUAGGUGCCAACCGACCUAACAGGCUAACAACGCACUAGAGACAGGAGAGGUUGUUUGAUUAGUGACGGCAUCUCUAUGCGUAUGCAAGUAGUUUGGACGGUCAUUGCUUUAUUUUCUCACAACUUCACAAGGUUUGAUGAGUAUGCCAUGUGCCAUCUGCUUCACUUUUUGUUUGUUCCCUUUUGUUCCCAUCUCCAGUGAACACAGGGCUUGACCACCAUCUAUCGACCAGGUUGUCCCGGCGGACGUGCACACGGAAACGUGUUUCUCGAGUCUGAACCAAAAUACUUCUACGCGGUUGAGAAACGAAGUCUGAACCGGAGGUUCACGUGUCCUCGGAGAAAGGGGUCUGGGCCAGUACGGUGGCUCCGCUGCUGAAAAGUUGACCAAGAGCAACAGUAGCAUAGCGCGUGGUCCGGGAGCUGCUGCACAAGGCGCGACGCCGUUGAAUAGUAUCCUCCGUACGAUGUGUUAAAAUGAUUUUAUUUUGAAAUAGAACCGUCGGUCCGACUUAUAUACGUACUAUGAAAUUUGGCAUAAUUCAUUUUUACUGGUACAGACGGACAUCAGAUGUACUUCAACGGACAAGAUAACACCCAUCGUUACUUAAUGAGUACUCCCUCCUUCCAUAAAUAUAUGAACAAGCAAAUUAGUUUAUUUUUAACUAAUUACUCUGUCCUAAACAUCCUAUACAUCAUGUAUUGUGGACAAAUGUAGUAUUUAUUUAAUCUUUCUCCGCAUGCCCAGCGGAAAUAACAACGCAGCGCGUCGCUGUCUUGCCGGGACGACGCGAGCCGCGACGCUCAGCUCAUUUGGCGAAGCAGGGCAAUAACUGCGCAAUGGUGGAUGGAGUGCAGAUUGGAGAGUCUGCCGCUGCUCUUCUUACUCCUGUCACUUGGGCCUUGUUUAUUUCACCUCCAACUCCCAACUUUGGCACUAUACAAAAAGAGAAUUUCCCAUCACAUCAAACUUGCGGUACAUGCAUGGAGUACUAAAUGUAGACGAAAUCAAAAACUAAUUGCACAGUUUUGUUGUACUUUGCGAGACGAAUCUUUUGAGCCUAAUUAGUCAAUAUUUGAACAAUAAUUCACAAGUACAAACGAAACGCUACAGUGUUGCUACAGUAUUUUGGACACCCUAAAGUUGGACAACUAAACAAGACCUUGGUAGCGCAGGAGCGGAAGGGGGAGGGCCAAAAACAGUCAUCACUAUUUGCUUGUGGAAUGAGCGAACAACUAGUAUUUCCAUACCACAAAAAUCACAGCUCGUUGAUCCCGCUCGCGUGCGUUCCAACCAUAAAUUAAGCAGAGAAUGCAACGCAACGACCCUUGGCAUCGUGCCUUCUGGUUUGUAGUGUGUGUUCAGUUGAGGUUCACACGAACUGAAACGCUGCUGUUUUCUAACUACGGUUAAUGUCAGACAUCAACGACGCGUUACUACGCGUGUCACCGUGACUCCGCUGGCUGGUGGCUGCCCGUAGGCAGAUGUCAGUCGUUCUCCACCAGCAAAACCUGUCUGAACCACCAACCCGGCCGGGGUGCAAAUGAUCGACAUGGACAUGGCUGGGUUUGGACUUUGGACAGAGGCAGUGAGGGCAACCAGUGAAAUACGGGCAGGCAUCGUGUGACAGGCGUCGUUGCUGAUUCCAGCUUGUCGAUCUCUGAUGGAAUCGCUUGACGGGCAGUCAACCAACGAAACAAAUACUCUGUUGGGUUGGGUAGAGAAAUAAUAAUAUCUAUAAAUCUGCAAUUUGAAAUGAAAGGACUAUUUUCUACGUUUGCUAGAUCUUGAAUAGGAGACCUAUUCAAGUACAACUACACCAGGAUUCCUACUACGAAGGAACAAUUUCUCUUUAGCACCUUGCAAAUUUUUUUAUUUUUAAACUUUUUUAAAUCAAAUUUUAAAAAUAACCUGUCCGUAAGUUUAUUUGCACUGGGUAAACUUACCCGUGCCAGCGCACUUGGCGCGGCAGGAAGCUUCUGCCACGCCACAUGCACUGGCGCGGCGGAGGCCGCCAUGCUAGCGCGGCGCGGCAGGCGGUCCAGCGUGGCGCAAACAUGGGCAGGAGCUUGAGCCUGCCUAGCGCGAUAGCGCUAUGUAGCACUCCCGCGCCGACUCAAUCCUCCCUCCCUCCCUCCCUCCUUUCUUCUUCCUCCAGUAACCUCGAGCCCGACCCUUGCACACGCCGCCGCCCGCCUCCACCCCCAAAUCCACCGAAAAUCCAGCGAUUUCGGUGGGGGAAAAGAGUGGGAAUUGGUCAUGGCUUCGUGUGGAAGGUAUCCUCCAACUUUUUCCCUUGGUUUAGCGUUCCAUUUGGUAGAUCGGAGGAUAUUUAGGUGACCUAGGGUUACGUUGUUGAUUUGAAAUUUUGAUGAAAUGCAAUGUUGUUAUGUGUUAGAUGAUGUGUAGUUCAUAUGCAAUAGAGUCUCUACCCGCGAUAUUGAUGUGUAGAACUUGUUGAAUGCUUCGAUUUAGGAUAGAUAUUCAUCCAAUUGUGUAGUGUACAUGUCAUUAUUUUUUUUAAUAUGUCCAAUAUGUUUAGUUUGUAAUAUAGUUGCUAUAGUUUUUAUGGUGAAGUGUUUGUAUUUUGUAGAUGUAUUGUUUAAUUUGUAUGUUUGAUGGUGGGAUUGUGAAAGUUGGUAUGCAAUUGUGUAGUGUACAUGAUAUGAGUACAUUUUUUUUGCAAUAUGUCCAAUUAAUUUGUCCAAUAUGUUUAUUUCAUAAUAUAGUUGCUAUAAUUUAUAUGGUAAAGUGUUUGUAUUUCGUAGAUGGAGUGUUUGUAUUUUUUCGAAUUGAUGUAUAUAGUUCGUAUGGUAAAGUAGAUGGAUUACGUGUCUAAAGUUUAUUUGUGUAUUAAUUUACGGGCACUUGAUUUGUAGGUGAGAUGACGUUGUUCGGUUGUGAAUACAAGUGGCGUAGGUGGUACGUGCGUUAUGUGGGCGAGUCCAAUGCGGGUGCUCCCGUACCUCCUGCCCUUCCAGUACCUCUUUGUAGAUGUGGCGUGCAAGAUGAAGUGAAACAAUCAAAUCAUCCAAAGACAACCGGAAGAGGCUUCUAUGUGUGCAAGUGGACUUUUGAUCCAAUGCCUGCUGCGCCUUGUGAUUUCUUUCAAUGGAUAGAUGGACCCGAUAAAUAUGAUCCUAGAAUCCGUCUAUUCCCAUAGCUUAAACCAUACCAUCAGUUUAGGCGUUGGGUUCCUCCUCCACCAAACCCACCUAGAAUGACCGAGGAGGAGAAGCAGGAGGCUUCUUGUAGGCGUGUGAGGGAUCCUCCCAUGUGCAAGUGUGGAGUUGCUGCUAAGCUUAUGCGUCCUAACUUAAGGGUUCCACCUAAGUUCACUCCAUUCUUUCGAUGCUUGCUAAAGACUCAUGUAAGUUUAUUAGGAGAAUGUUAGUAUGACGUGUAGCAAGCAGUGAUAGUUUUAUUGAUUUGUGCUCACUUUUAAUCUUGUCACCAGUUUUAUGCAGGAUGGGUGGCCGCUAUGUGAUUUCAAUGAGUAUAUCUACGGGUCACAGGCGAUGUGGCCAACGGAGGAGCAAGUGUGGGAGUUCGAGAGUGGAAAGGCACCAUGACCAUGUGUAUCCUCUCCUAGUCGUAGAUGUAAGUGUGGUAUAUUGCAACAAAAGGUGUGGUGCCUUCUGAGCUUGGAUAUGGUUCGUUCUUUGGCAAUGCACAUGGCGAGUACUGGGUGAGUAACUACUUGUCUCUUUUGUGGUGCCUUGAGAGCUUACAUGUGAAAUGUGUAUCCAUUGUUUCAAAUUUGUAAGAAUAUGAAAAUCUUGUUGCAGCAGGGAAGGACAUGUGAUUGGGAAGACUUUUCUUAUCGUUGUGAUUUAUUGUUAAAGUUGGGUAGUACAUCAGAACCAUGGAAGUCAAGACAAACACAAGAACUGAUAGAAAAGAUUAGAAAGGAGUAUGAUGUGUCUAUACCUGACAGCGACUUGCUUUGGGGGAAAAUAUACCAGGACAUGGUUCAGGAGACUGGAGUGAAGCCUUAAGGACUUUAUGUGAAGGAAACUAUUAUUAAGUAUUGGAGGCAAAAUAGAACCAAGUAUCCACAACCUCUAAUUGAAAAUGAGAAGAGAGAAAAUAGGAGAAAGUUGCAGGAGGAGAGGGAGUUGGAGAAACAAAGUUUGAGGGAGGAGAGAGAUCGCAUAGGUUUUAUGGUUGAUCCGAAUGUGAAAUACCCUAAGGGUUCAUGGGAAGAAUAUUUGCAACAGGUUAGGGUAAGGAAGAGAAGGAUUGAAAUGGAAGAGUUACAAAAAAAAGUGGAAGAGGCACAAAUGGAGGCGAUGAAGGCACUUGUUGCCGAUUUACCUGUUGGUAAGGUUAAUGUGGAUAAAAAGGUAAGGUUAAUGUGGAUAAAAAAGGGAAGGGAGUUAUUAUUGCGCGGGAUGGCGAUGAUGAUGAUGAGUUACUAUGUGAAGGUGACUUCGACUAGAUGAACAUGUUGAUUGAACAUGUUGAUUGAGUUGGAUCAUGUUUCUCUUUAGUUGUGAAAACUAUGUUCAUUUGUGAGGCAACUAUGUUUAUUGUGAGGACUAUGAUUAUUUGUGAAAACUAUGUUCAUUUGUGAGAAAACUUUGUCUAUUGUGAGAAUUAUGAUUAUUUGUUAACAAACAUGUAAUAUGUUAUCUGCAUUGAGUGCGCGUGCGUGGUCGUGGUCAAUGUUUGCAUUUUGAUAAUACAUUAUUUGCAUAUACUAUUACAAGGGCUAUUUCGUUCCAUAACACAAAUCAUUAAUGAUUACUUACUUUGUUCAUACAUAGGGUAGAAAAUUACUUACUAUUGCUAAUACCACACUGUGUUGCAGCUACUUGGAUAGUUUCAUGAUAUUAUUGGAAACCUGCAAGGCAACAAGUGUGUGUGAUUUAGCACUUGUGAUCUCAUACAGAAGGUACCCUUGCUUUGAGAAAAAUAGAGUAACCACCAAGGUAGUCCUUACUUUCUUUCUUAAUCAACAACCAACUUUGAAAAUUUAUAAUUUAGACAUAAGCAACUGAAUUGUGUAAAUUGAAGUGUAUCAUCUAGGUUUUUCUUUAUUCACUUUUAGGUUUAUUCUUUUCCUAUAAUCCCUUUGCAAUAGUACCUAAUAGCUUGAGAGCAGUAAGGUGUAGAAGUGGAACUGUAAUGCUGCCGCGCCACCCUGCCUGGCGUGGCAGGGGUCAGCUGCCGCAUAAAGCGCACCGAACUUUCAGUUGGUUAGAGGGCCACUGCACCACUCUAGCUGGCGCGGCAGGGGUGUGCUGCCGCGCAAAGCGCACCGAACUUUUAGUAGGUGCGAGGGGCCACCGCGCCAUCCGGCUGGUGCGGCAAGCGCUACCGCGCCACCCUGCCUAGCGCGAUAAGGCUGAGCUGCUGCACAAACUGCACCGAACUUUCAGUAGGUGUGAGGGGCCGCCGCGCCACUCUGGCUGGCGCGGCAAGCGUUGCCGCGCCACCCUGCCUGGCGCGGCAAGCGUUGCCGCGCCACCCUGCCUGGCGCAGCAGGCCUGAGCUGCCGCGCAAACCGCACCGAACUUUUAGUGCUAAAGUUUUGAUGCCAUUGCUGAAAAUUCAAAGGAAUCCAAUUAUUAGCAUGGUACAGAAGUUUUGAGAACUGCAAAGCGGAAAAGGAAAGUCGUCGUUGUGGCUUACAUCGACGCGAAGACGGCAAGGUCGACCCACAGGCAAGCGCUCUCAAAUCGAGAUCUACAAUAUAUAUGCAUACCCUCCAAUAUUUGAAUCCCUUGCAGUGCAUCUACAAGCCUCACACAGCUGCCUGUACAGCCAGGCGAGGACCGCUGAGCCCCAACUGUACAAACAGAUGUUGUCCCAAUCUUGAUCCAAAAGUGGGAGAACCAUCCAAGACACCGUGUUCCCGGCUGCAUCAAGGAGGAAUGUGCUGACAAAGUGCCACAGCCAAACACGAGCAUAUCUUUGCACAACCUUGUCAUUUGCUCCCUCAGGGCAAAUGUUGAAUAGCUCCCUCAACCAUGCGGAGCUCACACCGGGGGUCUUCUUGGAGUUAUCUCUAUCCUCUGGCUCUGGCAGCCUAAUCCCAAUGUGCAUUGCUACCAUAUCACGCCAAUUCUCGCUCUGUAUGAUUCCCGUCUCUGGAUGCCCCUCCACCCCUCCAGUGAAAGACUGAGUAUCAUGGGGACGUCUUGCAUCGUGAUGGUCAUCUCGCCAAAUGGGAGGUGGAAGGUGUGAGUCUCCGGAUGCCACCUGUCAAUCAUGGCGGUCAACAACGGUCCAUCCAUUGGAGCGAGACCGACAACAACCUGAACUGCAAUAUUCAGGAAUCCUGCUCUCUGCAGGUAGUGCGCGUAGCGCUCGUCCCACCUAAAUGGUGAGUGCACUCUCGCCUGUAAUGGCUUCAAAUCCUGCAAAACAACCAAAUAAUUGGAAAUAAGUUUAUUUCUUACCAUACAAGCAAAUGGACAUAGAUGGAAAAGGUUGUUUGGAAAAAUAAUGGAAAGUGAAUGCAUUUGAGAUUAAAACUAUGAAAGCUCAUCAACUCUAGAAAUAAAGAGCUACUAAAGUGCUAAGUAACACAAAUCUGAUAUAAAUGACAUUUUGAGUAGGAAAUUGUGCUGAUUGUACACAAGAAACCGGAAUGGUGUUUAUCAUCACCUUUUUCAGGUUAAAACUUAAUGUCAGCUGAGAAUUAGACAUAGUAAUAUUCAGGGAUAGACUUAGCAUCAAGUCAUAAGAUUUUCAGAAUGACUAGUCAUAUUGUCAACAUCCAAGUCAAUACGGGGCUUUGGCACACAAGAAAAUAAGUACCAGAGGAAGGAACGCAUGUUAAGCACUAUUGCGAGAAAUUAGCAAGCAUUGUUGAUAAUAGUUUAUACAAAAAUGUUUCAAUUCUCAUCCUAAGAUAUCCAUUCAUCAGCAUAAAUUUUCACAUUGGGACAUAAUGAAAUGGUAAGGACUAGUACUACCAAAUGUGUUUUAAAAAUAAUAGUGCUGUAAUGCUACCGAAACAGUAGAAUCAUACGAUAUUACAAUGUUACAUAGAUCUUAAGACUUGCGCCCUUUUUCUUUUCUAUUAGAAGAAACAAUCAAAGGAUAGGUCAGGAAAUUUAGGGUCAUUACCUUACCCAUUGCAGAAUUAUGGUUUGUUUACAACUAAUUUAAUCAGCUAGUAUUUCAAAGUGGUGCAAAAGGGUGAUGGAAAAUUAUAAAACUCUUAUAUAGGAAUCUUAACACAGACACAAGGACAUGCAAUAACUGUGCAGCGAGGUGCAGUACCUCGUGCAGGUUGGCGAGGUGGUGGGCGUGGUGCUGCGAGUCGUACAUGGCCUCAAGGAGCGGGUACGCUGGGACCGCCAUCCUAGAAAAUAAUAAACAACAUUCGUUAGUAAAAAGGUUUAUUGUAUAAUAAGUACAAUAAAAAUGAAAAUUUACUUUCAAUAAAUGCUAUAAUGAUAACCAUGCAAAAAAUGAGCAACGCGUCUAUCCUCAUGUUGGAAGAACGCGGCCUAUUAUUGUUCGCCCUAGAUUUCGUGGCCUUAUAUUUUCUAUUGCAGCAUGUGCAAUUCUUAAUGAUCUUGUGGCACUUCGAGCAACGAUUUUCCGACUUGUCCACAUCAAAAUCGCUAGUGCCAUAAUGUGCAGAAAGCCUCCCUUGCGACACGUCCAUGUCACCUCUCAAAUGCUUCUUCUGCCUCCUUCCUACUUUAUUUCUCAUCAAAUUGGGGUUGGGCACGUACUUUACCCCUUCAUAAGGCGGCCAUUGUGAUGGAUCAAGGUAAGGUUGAAAGCUAUAUUCCCAUAUUCUAACAGUGUGCUCCCUAGAGUACAAUGGUGACAUGUACAAGGGGCUUUCGUAGUUAAGACCUCUUGCCUUGCAAGCUGUAAUGAAGUGUGAACAUGAAAGAUGCAACAAUUGGGGAACAUUGCAGGUGCACGAAACUUCGUUCAGAUCCACUCUGUAGUGUCAGCAUCCAUGGCUCUCACCCCCAACAUUAGUAGUACCGGAACCUCUUAUAGAAUAUACCAUUCUUUCUGGCCCGUACAGUUCUGGUAAGUGGUGCACGGACCUAAGCUCAGCCUCUGAUAUAAAUUCAUCUGCAACCUUCCCAAUCCUAUGACCUUCAUCCAACAUUGCACGUGCCUUUUGCCAUUGGUCCACAAAGUAGAUGUUGCAUUUUUCAAAGGAGUAUUCCAUAACUCCAGAAAUGGGCCUACUUCGGAUGCCUUUGAAAACAACGUUUAGUGAUUCCGAGUAGUUCGUGGUCAUAAUACCCCAAUGCAUCCCUCCCUCAUUGAAAGCCUGCGCCCAUUUGUCCUCAUCCUCUAUUUCACCCUUCAACCAUUCUUUUGCGUCAUCGUUCAAAUCCUUCACUAGAUCUUCUAACUUCUCAUCAAACUCUGUCUCCGUAUGUACCUUGCAUAAAGUAUUCAAUUUUCCAAUCACGCGGUCGUUCUUUUGCCAACGCGACAUGUUGGCGGCAAAGUGCCUCAUGCACCACCUAUGCACAAGUGGUGGAAACCCAUCCAUGUGGUUGUUCGCACAAUUUAGGAGCCCAUGGUGCCUAUCCGAGAUCAUACAUACUUAGCGUGAAGGUCCAAGUACAUGUCGCCGAACCAGUUUCAUAAACCAUGACCAACUCUCAUUGUUCUCACUCUUGGCCAAGGCAAAAGCAAGAGGCACAAGCUGCUAUUCUGGAUCUACACCAAGUGCCAUCAGUAGUGUACCCUUGUACUUUCCGGUCAAGAAUGUACCUUCCACAAGUAUCACAAGAUGACAAUGUUGAAAUGCCACACUACAUUGAGGGAAGCACCAAAAUACCCUUUGGAGCACGUGCUUCAAAACUCCAUUGUCAGGAUGCAUCAUGCCACAUGAGUCAGUGAACCAUUCAACCCUGGGAUUGUAGUAGGCCAUAGCUGUGAGUACCCUAGGAACCAUGCCAUACGACUCCCUCCAAUCCCCCCAAAGUAGGGCAACGACGUGUUGCUUUGCCUGCCAUGCCUUUGAAUACUUGACACGGUAUCCACUAAAGGCAAAGAUGGACUCCACGACGGAUGGCACCGAUGUCUCGCUGUCUUUACGGAUAAUGCCUAGGAUACGCCGCCCAAGGUACUUUGCUGUGCACUGGACGUGCACUCACUUCGGUUGUGAAGAACGACAAGUAUGCGGUUGCACAAUAUUUGAAAUCCUCCAUUGUCCGAUGCUUGUAAUUAGUUAAGACCAUACACGCCAAUGACAUCCUUGCUUGCACAUCACAUUUUACCUUAAGUUCUUAUCAGAGUGAACUAUGGUGAAAGGCCUAUGUAACCUCACUGCGUAGUCAGCCAAGAAAACUUCAGCUCCUCAAGACUUUUGAACUUCAUUCCCUUCUUAAUCACUGGAUUCUCAUUAAAGGGUAUCCCUUCGAAAUUCACCAUACUAGAUUCACAUAUGGCUUUGUGGACCAUGCUUAUGUCCUUAUCAUUGGGAACGGAUGGCAGUUCGACAUCACGUUCUUUCAACAAUCGCAACUCGUUCUGGGUAUAAGAAAAAUAUUCGUCCAUACGACCAAUACCUUCUACAUCAUGCACAGUUGCGGUGUCGAACUGCGGUGCAUCCUCCUGAUAUUGUGACUCCUCAUCCUCAUUUUUAUGCCCACCACUCUGAGAUGGCGACUCCUCCUCUCCCUCGACAUCUUCUACCCCAUCAUCCUUGAAUUCACUACCUUCGGAACCCAUAGAUAUAUCAUCAUCAUCUAUAUUUGCUUCAUCCCUCUCAAAAGUGUCAUUGGGAAAAUCAUCAUUAGCAAUGGCCAAGUCAAAAGUAGAUUCUGUGUCACCUAACACGUGUUGCAAAAUUUCUGACUCCUGGGUACCAUUACGAUUCACUACUGCCACUUCAUCGCUCAAGACAACAUUUGGGCUAGGCAUAUGAACAAUUUCAACUACAACCUCCAAGCAUGCAACAUUUGCUUUGUGAACUACAUCCUUAUAGUGCUUCCAAUUUGAAUCGGAUGCUAAGUUCAUGAGAACAUAAUGAGCUCUAGCUUUCCCACAAUCAAAACGGCCUCUCAAUGUCAUCUCAUGCACUCUACAUCCAUACUUCCUCAUUGCACGGUCAACUAAAUCAGUAAAAGUUGUAGGACCAUCGAAGAAUUCAACUGCCUCAUUCAUAUUCUCUAACUCCCCAUUUUCUUUCACAAUACCACCAUAAAAAAAUGAACUAAACGAUCCAUCUACAAAAUACAAACACUUCACCAUAUCAUGUAAACUACACAUUGCACAUAUUGGACAUAUCAAUUGGACACAUUCGACAUAUUGGACAUAUUGCAAAAAAAAUAACUACCCAUGUCAUGUACACUACACAAUUGGAUGAAUAUCACAUAAAUCGAAGCAUUCAACAAGUUCUAUACGUCAAUAUCGUGGGCAGAGACUCUAUUGCAUAUGAACCGCAUCAUCUAACACAUAACAACAUUGCAUUUCAUCCAAAAUUGAAAUCAUCAACCUAACCCUAGGUCACCUAAACAUCCUCCGAUCUACCAAAUGCAACGGUAAAACAAGGAAAAAAGUUAGAAGAUACUUUCCACACGACAUGGUGAUGAAUUCCCACUACUUUCCCCAAGCCAAAUCGUCAAAUUUGGGGGUGGCAGCGGCGGCCGGUAGCGUCCAAGGAGCUUGGGUGCAGGGGGUUACUAGAGGAGAAGGAAGAGAGGAGGGAGGAAGUAGGGAGCCGGCGCACGGCUGUAGGAGAGGAGCUGUCGAGCCAGGUGGGCUAGUGCGGCAAUCACCACCCUACGUCAACGACACGCUAGCCCGCCUCCCGCGCCGCGCCAGCAUGGCAGCAUCCGCCGCCCCAGUGCAUGUGGCGCGGCAAAAGGCUUCCUACCGCGCCAGGCGCUCUGGUGCGGGUAAAAGGGUCACCUGAUGCAAAUAAGCUUCCGAACAGGUUAUUUUUAAAAUUUUAUUUAAAAAAGGUUAAAAAAAUUUGCACGUUGCCCCAUGGUUCUUCAGAGACAAGCAGACCUUAGCACCAAGAAUGGCCGAAAAACAAAGUGGUACAAAUAGCAAAGCUUGGCACAUCUAAUCCAUGUGGAUCACUCUUCCUUUCUCCUUUUUCAAAUUAGAAAGACACUAGUUGAUCAACCCGUGCUCCCGUACGAACUAAUAUUUUUAAAAGUUAUAAUAUUUAAAAAGGUAUCUAGAAAUUAAACUUCUACCUAAUAAUCAUAAUUAUUUACGUACUACUCUCUUAUUUUUUCAAUACUUCAACAUAAUACUCAUAUAGAUGUGUACUUAUCUAUAUCCAGCUGUGAUUAAUUUUUAAUUAGUAAUUACUCUAUACACUUUUCAAUUCACAUUCAUUUUUUUUCAUUUUGUAUGGCACCUCUAUACCUUGUGUUUAGCAUAAAAAUCAAUAUUUUUCAUCACUUCCUCACAUACAUGGUGACACUAAUCAUGGGUAUAUACCUUAACUGAAUAUUUCUAUAUUAACAAUAACAAAAAUAGGUAAUUUAGAAUCAUAUAUUAGUUUAAUAUUGAACAUUUCUAUAUGAUGCACAUCAAGAUAAUUAGAUUAAGAUUUAGAUGUUUACUUUAGAUUAUUUUUAAUAACGACAUAUAUGGCUAACUUAGAUACAAAUUUAGAAUGUCAUUUUAAGUUAUAUUUUAUAAUAAUAUGCAUGAGUAAAUUGGAUGAAAAUUAUGAGGUUAUUUUACAUUAUCUUUUAUAAUGACCGAGCUCGGUAAUUUAGAUAUAGUUUUAGGGUUUGUUUUAGAAUAUUUUCAUAAUGAUAGUGGUGGGUAAUAUUUUAGAAAAUAUAAUAGACCAAUGACUAUGAUUAUUUGAAUUUACAUGAUUUUUGUGAGAAUUUUUAGGAUUUUUAUUUUUUCUAGGAUUUUUUAUCCACAGCAUAAGUAUGGUUUGGUCUAUAGCACAUCCUAUUUGUUGAUUUUAACUCUGGCACACUGUGAAAAUGUGAAUUUGUACGCAACACACUAUUGGUGUUAUUUUACUCAUUUCUAGUCUGAGAAGGUGGUGAAUGGACACUUGUGCCCUUGGCAAGGGAGUAGAGAUCUGUUGGUGCCCAGCUAGGCUCGAAGUUGGCAGCGGCGGUGUGUCGGCGAGCACAAAAUUAUCAAUUGCCCGAACCUCAAUGUGCACGCAGCGUUCCCUAUGAAGAUGGGGGCGAGCUCAUCGAGGAUGGGUGCAGGUGCAGGGUUGCCACUGAUGGAGCAAGUCGCCACCACAGCGAGCAUCCUCGUGAUGACGUGAAUCCCCUCCGCCGACCACCAGUUGCCGACCUCGCCCUGCGGCGGGGCAUCAUGCGCGUGGGUGCGAGGAGAGCAAGCGGCAGCCUCGAAGGCAAGCUGGGGAGGUUCUGUGCAUUGUGGCCAGUCUACAGUCCUUUUAACAUCUAUUUUAGCCGAAAAGGAUUAAUUUAUUUGGUACAGUGUCCAGAAGACAAAAACACGAAUUAGGGAUGUGCAAACUAAAUCGGGGAGUGAAGCGUGCUAUGGACCAAACCACGUUUUCACAAUGUCCUAGGGACAAAAAUCCCUUUUUUCUAGCAUGUCUUUUGAGAACUAAUGCGGAGUCUCUUAUAAAAAAAUAAAACCAUAUUGCUAUAAACUAUUACCUUUAACUACCUCUCAUUUGGUAAAUAUUCAAACACAAUACUUAUAUAAAUAUAUACUUAUUAUUUUCGUUUAAUUGUGAUAGAUUUUAGUUAGUAAUUACUCUAUAACGUUUUCAUCCACAUUUAUAAUCUUUAACUUUUCACUUUGCAUCGCAGGUAUGUGCUUGAGUAUGUUUGAUGGACCCUAAGUUUGAGCUAUAAUUUUAACAUAGAAAUCUAUAUUCUCAUUACUUCCUUUGUAUCUUUAUAAAUGGUGACAACAUCAUGCAUAUAUACAUUAAUUAUUAUAUCAUAUACCAAUAGUGUAAGAAAUAGAUGAUUUAAAAUCAUAUAUUGAUGUAUAUUUUUAAUAUGGUGUUUUGGAUUUAAAUGGAGGGUUACCUCAUGUUAUUUUUAAUAAUAACAUAUGUAGGUAAUAUAGAUGCAAAUUUAAGGAGUUAAUUUUAAGUAUUUAGCUAUGGGCAAUUUACUUGUAAAUAUAGGGAUUAUUUUAAAUAUUGUUUAUAAUGACAUAAGUGGGCAAUUUUGAUGAAGAUUAUGGGGUUACUUUAGUUUAUUUUAUAUAAUGAUAGAGGUGGGUAAUUUAGAUAUAGAUUUAGGGGGUUACUUUAGGAUAUUUUCAUAAUGGCAUAGGUGGGUAAUUUUUUAAAAAGAUAAUAGAUCCGAUGGCUAUGAUGCUUUGACUCUACCGAUGAAUGGCCAAAUGUUUUGCUUUUUUGUGAGAAUUUUUAGGAUUGUCCUCUUUUUCUAGAAUGUCCACCUAGGAUUCUAGGUAGCUUCAAAAAAUUAGAUCAACCUAGGAGGAGCUAGGUGAUUUUUUUUUAUUAAGAAGAAGAAAUAGGUACUCAAAUUCAAGCUAGAGAGGACUCGAACUUGGGUGGUUAGAGUGCAUGACCACACCUCCCAUUCUAACCAGUUGAGCUAGACUCACUUCCUCUCCUAAGUGGCUUCACCUAGACGCUUCAAAAGGAGCCUAAUAGUAAGAUUGCAAAUUGUUCAUACACACACACACAUACAUGCAUACAUACAUACAUACAUGCAUACAUACAUACAUACAUACAUACAUACAUACAUACAUACAUACAUACAUACAUACAUACAUACAUAUAUGAAUUUCCAAACCGUCCGAACUACAUAAUUGACCCGCUGAGAUUGUUAUCUCUGAGAACCAACCGUUGCAGUCUUAGACAAUCUGUAAUGAUACCAGGUGGGAUGCUACCGUUGAGAUGAUUCAACCUCAAGUCCAAAACUCUCAAUCCUUUUCCUGAACAAAUAUUUGGUGGUAUCCCACCAACAAAACUAUUAUUUCUGAAACUUAUUAGGACCAAACGGCUAUUAACACCCAGCUCCGGUGAGAUUGUUAUCUUUGAGAACCAACCGUUGUAGUCUUGGACAAUCUGUAAUGAUACCAGGUGGGAUGCUACCAUUGAGAUAAUUCAACCCCAAGUCCAGAACUCUUAAUCCUUUUCUUAAACAAAUAUUUGGUGGCAUUCCACCAACAAAACUAUUAUUUCUGAAACUUAUCCGGACCAAACGGCUAUUAACAACCAGCUUCGGUGGUACGAUCAUAGAGAAGAAAUUAUCAUAUAGUGUAAUAUUCUGGAGGGACUGUAGCUCAGCUACCACUGAAGGUACCUUACCCGUGAAACUAUUACCGUAAAUAUGGAUGCUCUCAAGGGUUGGGAUACUCCAAAUAUUCUCAGGGAACUCUCCUACGAGGCGAUUCUCGAACAAAAAGAGCUUUGAAAAAUUUUGUAAAUGUGCCAAAAUUUUUUAGGAACAGUGCCCUCCAGCUGGUUUGCAUCCAACUCUAGCCACUCCAGCAUACGAUAGUUACCAAUCUCAGGAUAGAUUGGUCCAGACAGGGAGUUCUGAGAAAGUAAAAGAUGAGUGCAGUUGCUCAAUAAGCCGAGAGAAGUUUGAAUUUUGCCAGACAAGCUAUUAUUGACAAAUCCAAGUUGUGUCAAGCUCCUACAACUCCCCAGCCAUGAUGGAAUUUCACCCUUUAUAUUAUUGAAUGACAGGAUGAAUAUUUCCAACUUGCAGCUAUUCUCAAAACUGAAAGGAAUCUCGCCUCUGAAGCUAUUGUUUGUGGCAUCAAAUAUCCUAAGGCCUUCGAUCUUGCUCAAGGUUUCGGGAAGACUGCCGCUCAGUUGAUUAUUGAGUAGAUAGAGGACCUCCAACUUGGUGCAGUUACCAAUCGAAGUGGGUAAAACCCCAGAUAACAUAUUAUCAUGCAACCACAAGGACGUAAGGCUUGUCAUUUCACCAACCGAGAAGGGGAUCGAACCACUGAGCUGAUUGGAAUGGAGGUACACUUGCUCCAGAAACUGAUUGAGAAGCACAAUACAGGCACACAGCCAUGCAUACGUGACACCAACACGCUAGGCAGUGGUAAUAACUCUAAAAAGGAAAGUAGCUGUGACAUCAGUCUUAAUGGGAUUUCAUCAUAGGGAGUUUCAUCGACAUUACAUUCUAACUAUCUUGGAAAAAACGGAAUGUGCUUCACAUUACGGAUUCAGUAGACACUGUCUUGUCCAGUUGUUCCUAUCUUCGUUUGCUAAAAUGACUUUCAUUAAUUUUCUUUGCUGCUAACCUUGAAAAGCAUACACAACCUCCUGCUUUUACACCCGGAUUCGUACUGUCAACGAGCAACUGGUUGGAACUGGGACAAAAACAAGGUGCUCCCAAUUCCAGAACCUUUUACGAUAUGCCAUGUUGCUUCGACCGUGCACACCUCGUUACGUUUAACCAGUCUUUUGGUAUGCAUGUGCUACUAUGCUCACCGACGAGUUUCUCCUUCCAAAACUACACUGGUUUUUUGUCUAAAACUUCAAUCGUCACUGGUUUUGUCUAAAACUCCCUAUACGAUGUGUGUAACAACGGCAUAACUGUAAAUAUCAAAGGCUAUAUGCUUCUGCAGAAGCAAAGGCGAGACACUUGUUUUAUUUUCUUUUGAACGGAAGACACUUGUUUUAUUCUAUCAAUCAAAGAUCACAUUAACUGUAAAUCACCCUAUCUUUCGUGAGUUACAACUUACAACGAACACAGUAAGCAUUUUUUGGCGGAAUUUUGCUGGAAAAGUUGUUGUAACUAAGAUCUAAAACACCUAGGUUUGUACAAUUACUGAAUCCUGGAAUGGAUCCAUUCAGGUUGUUAGCUUGGGGACUGAUUUGCAGCGAACAAGGGCAGUUUGAAAAUAUAUUUGGUGGGACCGGACCGUCGAAACCAUUGCGGCUAAGAUCUAUGUAACUUAAUCCCUUGCAAUUUCUGAAUUCAGGAAUAUGCCCGCUGAAAUUGUUGCCCUGAAGAAUGAAUCUCUCCAAACUUGGGCAGUUCGAAACCCCGGAUGGGAUGCUACCAGUGAGAUGAUUAGAGCCCAAGUCCAGAAUUCUCAAUGUUUUCCCUGAACAAAUGUUUGGCGGAAUCCCACCAACAAAACUGUUGUUGGUGAAAUCAACCUUGACUAAACGGCUGUUAGCACCCAGUCCCGGUGGUAUGGCUCCGGUGAAGAAAUUAUCAAACAGUGUAAUGUUCUGCAGGAACUUAAGCUCAGCAAGCACAGAAGGUAGCUUCCCAGUAAGACCAUUUCGAUAGACGAGGACACUUUGAAGGCUUUGGAUGCCCCAUAUAUUUUCAGGAAACUCCCCUGUGAGAUGAUUUUCAAAAAGGAACAGCUUCUGCAAGUUCCUCAAGUUUGCUAGUUCUUUUGGAACAGUGCCCUCAAGCUGGUUUGCAUCCAACUCCAGCCACAAAAGCAAUUCACAGUUGCCAAUUUCAGUAGGGAUUGGACCAGACAAAUUGUUUUGAGAAAGUAGAAGAUAAGUGAGGUUUCUCAGUAAACCAACUGUAGGUGGUAUCUGUCCGGACAGACUGUUGUUGACAAAUGCAAGCUGCGUCAAGCUGCUGCAGUUCCCUAACCAUUUUGGUAUCUCCCCUCUGAUUUGAUUGAAUGACAGGAUGAAUAUUUCCAACUUGCAGCUAUUCUCAAAACUGAAAGGAAUCUCGCCUCUGAAGCUAUUGUUUGUGGCAUCAAAUAUCCUGAGGCCUUCGAUCUUGCUCAAGGUUUCAGGAAGACUGCCGCUCAGUUGAUUAUUGAGUAGAUAGAGGACCUCCAACUUGGUGCAGUUACCAAUCGAAGCGGGUAAAACCCCAGAUAACAUAUUAUCAUGCAACCACAAGGACGUAAGGCUUGUCAUUUCACCAACCGAGAAGGGGAUCGAACCACUGAGCUGAUUGGAAUGGAGGUACACUUGCUCCAGAAACUGGUUCUUGAACAACUCCUCUGGUAUAGUUCCACUCUCAAAAACACGGAUACGGCAGGGAAGGUGCGUAUCCCGUAUCGGAUACAUAUUCGAUACGAAUAUGCCUAGGAUACGACCGGGAUACGUAUCCGCAGUGUGUUUGCGUAUCCCUGCUUAUUUGGGCUAGAAACUAAGGAAAGGAAAUGUUUCGGCCCAGUUGAUACGGCCCAGCCCAACUUACCACGAUCCCAUUCUUUGCCUUUGCCCUACUCCCGAUCCUCACAUGCGCAGUCCGCCUCACGCAGCCACCUCCGCCUCCCGUCUGGCCAACUCCCCCAUGCAGCGCCCGUGUCCGCCGUCCCCUGGCGACCAGCCUCCACCCUCGCCGGCAACAAGGAGCCCCCGUGACGGUGACGAAGAGCUGCACCCGGCCUCCAGCAAUGAGCCCCUGCGACGGUAACAAAGAGUUGCGCCCGGCCGGCCGCAACGCCAAUGAGCCCCUGUGCUGCCUCGUGCCCCCUACUUAGGUGAGUUCCUCUCCCUCCCUAAUCCAAUUUAGAGUAGAGCCAGUGCACCCUGCCCCAUUAGGCCAAAAGCCAUUACCCCUUCCUGAUUACUGAUUAGAGCCUUAUUGAUUUUGUCCAAUGUUCAUUGUCUAGUAUGGCAUCUCCAAAUUUGAGUAGUGCAGGUAGUGCUAGUGCUACUGCUAGUGCUAGUGUGGGAUCUGGGUCCAGAGAAACAACUGAUAUCAAGGCUCCGCUGUGGGAUCAUGUCACCAUUCUAGAGAGGCCUAAAACUGGUGGAGGAAAUGCUUUUUGGAGAUGCAACUAUUGUCCAUUGGAAAAAAGCAGCAGCUACACUAGAGUUGAAGCUCGUUUGCUGUAGAAAUCAGGGAAGGGGAUUAGCAAAUGUGCGAAGGUUUCAUAUGAAAUGCUAAGUGAGAUGAGGAGGGAAGUGGAAAGGUGCAAGGAGCUGGUGGAAAGAGCAAAGACACGCACCGUUGCUUUGCCUGUAGCUCCUUCUCCAGCCAAUUACAACAAGAAGAACAAGAGGGGACCUGCUUCUAUAUUGGAAAAAUCUUGGGCAUUGCAAGACCGCAAGCAUUUGGAUGCUUUAAUUAUUAGAGCAAUGUAUUCUGGAGGGGUAUCUUUCAACUUUCUGAGAAACCCAUAUGUUAGAGAAGCUUUUGCAUUUGCUUGCAGCCACAAUUUGCAAGGUUACACAAUCCCUAGGUAUAACAGGGCUAGGGAAUCACUCCUGAGCAAGAAAGAAGGCACAUAGAGACUCUAUUGGAGAGUACAAAGAGCACAUGGCCAGAAAAAGGGGUCACAAUCUGCAGUGAUGGUUGGUCAGAUCCUCAUAGGAGGCCAAUCAUCAACUUCAUUGUUGUUUCUAAGAAAGCUCUAAUGUUUUUGAGGGCUGGCAAUUGUGACGGAGAAUAUAAGUCAAAAGAAUAUAUUGCUGAGAAGUUGAGGGCUAUUAUUGAUGAAGUAGGUGGACAAAAUGUGGUACAAAUCAUCACAGAUAAUGCUGCAAACUGCAAAGGUGCGGGUCUUUUAAUUGAAGCUGAAAAUGAUCACAUAUUUUGGACACCUUGUGUAGUGCAUACUCUCAACCUUGCUAUGAAAAAUAUAUGUGAACCUAAACUGCCAAGGACACCUACUGAUGAGGAUAUGCAUGUUUGGGGACAACUAGAAUUUAUAUACAAUGUUAAAGUUGAGUCUAGUAUGAUCAAGAAUUUCAUAAUGAAUCAUGGCAUGCGUCUUUCCAUGUUCAAUGAGUUCAGCCAUUUGAAGUUGCUUUCUAUUGAUGAAACAAGAUUUGCAUCGGUUGUGUGUAUGCUAAAACGGUUUGUUGACGUAAAAGCAGCUCUCCAACACAUGGUGAUUAGUGACAAAUGGAGCAUCUACAAAGAGGAUGCUUCAACUGCCCAACAUGUAAAGGAAAAAAAUACUAAGUGAUGUCUAGUGGGGCAAUGUAGAUUACAUUCUUAGGAUCACUACUCCUAUCUAUCAUAUGAUACGCUUUGCAGACACCGACACCCCGUGUCUUCACUUAAUCUAUGAGAUGUGGGAUUCAAUGAUUGAGAAAGUGAAGAAAGAGAUAUAUCUAUGAAGGGAAGGAACCAAAUGAGGAGUCAGAUCUCUACUCUGUUAUUCAUGAUAUAUUGAUUGCUAGGUGGACAAAAGGCAAUAAUCCACUGCAUUGUUUGGCUCAUUCACUCAAUCCAAGGUUACUAUACACUAUACAGUUCAGAAUUCAGAUUCUUUGCUUUUUAUUUUUUCAGUUGCUCAUGUUCUAAAUUGUAAUGCUAAAUUGCCAAAUGCAGAUUUUACAGCAACAAGUGGCUUGAAGAAGGUACUGGCCGACUACCCCCCCGCCCCCACAAGGAUAAGGAUGUAUCACAAAUGAGGAUGACUUGCUUCAAGAAGUUCUUUCACAUACCGCAAGAGUUGGCUAAAGUAAAGUAAGAAUACUCAAGGGUUUCUAAUUGUUCAGAAGAAUUCAAUGAUCCUGAUUCUAUACAUGAUAGAUGGGCUGUUUCCCCAAUGACUUGGUGGACAAAUCAUGGACAAUCUGUCCCUCUAUUGAUGAGUUUGGCCUUAAAAUUGCUGAGCCAACCAGCCUCCUAUUCUUGCUGUGAAAGAAAUUGGAGCACAUAUAGCUUCAUCCAUAGGGUCAAGAGAAAUGCCUUAACUCCUGAGCGGGCUAAAGAUUUGGUCUUUGUGCACUCAAAUCUGACAGGAGAGACAAGGAUGUGGGAUGUUGGAGGAGAUUCUUUUGAUUCCCUUAGUUGAAGUUGCUGACCUCUCCAUUGAUGAGCCUGACUUGCAGGCUGUAUCAUUUGGAUUGGGUGAUCUUGAGGUUGAAAGUGUGGAGGAGAAUGAGGAAACCGAGGAAGAAGCUUGAUGUUGAUGGCUUGAUGCUAUCCUAUCCUACUAUAGUACUAUAUUGCUAGUUUGCUACUACCUUUUAUUAAUUUCCUAAAUUAAAACCUGCUAUCAUGUUAUAUAGAGUGUAAUAGACCUUAAAUGUCUCUAUGUUGAACUUGAACAUCUAUUUUGCAAUUUAAUAUGCAUUGUUAUCUAUUUAUUAAUAAAAUAGUUAAAACGUAUCCACGUAUCGGGUUGUUUAAGAAAUUGCCGUAUCCGCGUAUCCGUAUCCUUCCGGUACCGAUACGCAUAUCCGUAUCCGUGCUGCAUAGGUUCCACUCAGCAAAUUAAUGUACAAUGUACAAUGAUAGCUGUGACAAUCGCUUUAGGUUUCCCAUUGAUGCUGGUAUAUUGCCAGAAAGGAAGUUUUCGGACAGAUCCAAUUGAUGCUGGUAUACUGUGCAGUUACCCAAUUCCGGAGGGAUCGAACCAUAUAUAUUGUUACAAAAUAAAUAGAGGAUAUGCAGGUAUUUUAGAAACCCAAUUUCGGGUCCUAUUGAACCUGAAACUUUCGAUGAUGACAGGUCAAGGGAAACCACUCUGUUCCUUUUAUUGCAACUAACUCCGUUCCAUGUACAUGGAGUUGCAUCAGAAGCACUCCAGCUAGAACUUACUGAACUUGGUAGCAUGAGAUUUUUCGACAGAGCAAGAAGAGCUUGGCCAUCUGAACUCAAACUCCAAGAUGAUGCAACAAAAGUGAAGAAUAGCAAAAUCCAAGGCCAGAAAACCAGCCUCAUUUUGUCCCUGAAAAGGUUUGAUAAAAGUCAGUUGACAAUUAAUUUUCCCUAUAUACAAUUAGGUGAUAGGCCGAAGCACUAAAUCAAUGAGAAUUAUAUAUGUUCAAGUGUGACAUGUAAAAAAACAGAGGGAGUAUAAGCACUCUUAUAGCUAUCUCAUGUGGCAUUGUUGGAGACAUCCUAACUUUGUUCCGGCACUACUACGUCACCUAAAAUGGCGACAAAUAAACAUUAAUCAAAACCCAGGAGCAGAGUUAGGGAAAACGAUACAGCACUGAUAGAAAAGUGUGAUACCAUUUGCUCUCGUGAUGUUUUAGCUAAACGAAAUCCUAUAUCAUAAUGUACCAGAUGGCUAAGUGCCAGCCGACCUAACAGCGCACUAUCUUGGCUAUGGUUGCAUGUUUAUAUAUAUAGAACAAGAAUUACAGAUAUAGAUAGUUUAAACUAGGACUCCUAACUUAAGUUCUAUUCUAUCUAUUGCAAACUACAGGAGUCCAUCUAUCUAUGAUACAUGUUCGGUUACAACUCUAGUAUAACACGUUUACAAUCUCUAACACCCCCGCUCAAUCUAAACUUUCCUAGCCACCUUGAAGUUUGAGAUUGCGAACAAAUGUAUUCAUCUUUGCAACCGGUAAGGCUUUUGUAAAUCCAUCUGCCAACUGAUCUCCAGAAGAGAUGAACCGAACUUGUAGCUGUUUUCUCAUAACUCUUUCACGUAUGAAGUGAAAAUUAAUUUCAAUAUGUUUUGCUCUAGCAUGAAACACGGGAUUAGCCGAUAAGUAUGUUGCACCAAGAUUAUCACACCAAAGAAUUGAGGUGCGCUGCACUUUAACCCCAAGUUCGGUCAUCAGUUGCUCAAGCCAUAUUAUUUCUGCAGUAGCAUUAGCCAUCGCUUUAUAUUCUGCUUCUGUACUAGAUCUUGAAACAGUUGGCUGUUUUCUAGCACUCCAUGAUAUAAGAUUACUUCCAUAGAAUAUGGCGAAGCCUCCAGUAGAACGCCUAUCAUCUGUAUCACCUGCCCAAUCCGCAUCUGAGAAGGCACUGAUGAAUGACGACAAUACCUUUUGAAUAUGCAUCCUGAGUCCAAUGGUGUGUUGUACAUAUCUAAGUAUUCUUUUAACUGCAGUCCAAUGAACAGAGGUCGGUGCAUGAAGAAAUUGACAUACUCUGUUGACGGCAAAGGAUAAAUCUGGUCAUGUAAUUGUCAAAUACUGAAGAGCACCAACUAUACUUCUGUAGCGAGUAGCAUCUUCUGGACUGAGAGGAACACCAUCAUAGCUCGACAGCUUCUCAGAUGCAGAUAAAGGAGUCGUGCAAGGUUUGCAGCCGAGCAUUCCAACACGCUUCAAAAAUUCUUAUGCAUACUUAGCUUGAGAUAGAGUUAUGCUAUCUAAAUCUUCUUUAACUUCUAUACCCAAGAAGUAAUGUAAUUUUCCAAGAUCCUUUAGUGCGAAGUCUUCUUUUAAACCAGCGAGAAGAGUUGUCACUGCUUCAGGUGAUGAGCUCGUAACAAUAAUAUCAUCAACAUAGAUAAGCAUAUAAAUAGUUGUACCACCCCUAUGAUAUAUAAAAAGAGACAUGUCUGAUUUUGACGGCACAAAACCUAGAGUGAUUAAUUUGGAACUUAACCUGGAGUACCACGCCCUAGGCGCCUGCUUCAGCCCAUAGAUAGCCUUGUCCAAUUUACAUAUAUAUCCUAGUGUUUUAGUAUCCUCAAAACCCGGAGGCUGCUUCAUAUAAACUUCCUCUUCCAGAACACCAUGCAAGAACGUGUUCUGCACAUCAAGUUGUCUGAGGCACCAUCCCCUUGACACUGCAAUAGAGAGUACCAAUCUAACUGUAGCUAUCUUGACAACUGGGCUGAAAGUGUCUUCAAAGUCGAUGCCAUAGCGUUGCUUGAAUCCCUUGGCAACUAAUCGAGCUUUGUAUCUAUCAAUACUCCCAUCGGCUUUUCGUUUGAUUUUGAAAACCCAUUUGCAAUCAAUAACAUUUUGUCCAGUUUUUCUUGGAACGAGAUGCCAAGUUUUAUUCUUAGCUAGAGCUUGAAAUUCCACUUCCAUUGCAUCAUGCCACUUUGAAUCUGAAAUAGCUUCAUCAACGGAAUUAGGUUCACCAGUAGCACUAAACAUGCCAUAUCGAAUCAUACCAUCAUAUAGCUUCUUUGGUUUGAUAAUACCGCUUUGCAACCGUGUUUGGUGACGCGGGGGAUCAGGUGUGGCUGCUGGAGAACUAGAGGUUGUAGAAGAUCCGGGCGCAAAUUCAUGUGCACCUGAUGCUGUAGCAUGCAGCGGUGUCCCAGGUGGAGACUCCUCAGACGCAUGCAGCGUCCACGGUGGAGACACCACCGCAUUACCCCCUCCUGUCGCCGCACUGUUGUCUUCUGGCGCAGCAACAGCGGUCGGCAGCUGGACUGCUGUUCCCCCAUGUGGUGUAGCAGGCGAAACAGCACUGUUCGACAAGCUGGGAGGAGACAGCGUUUCCACCUGGGAGCUGCAGCCUGGGCUAUGUGCGCCACAUCGUGCCAGUAGCGCUGGGAGCAUAGGCAUGGGACCUGCAAUUUUCUCUGAAGAUUCACUAGAAGUAGCAGGUACGUCACUAGUAUUAGUAAUAUCAGAUGCAGCACAAUCAUCAUCCCCUGGAUUUCGAAGGGAAGAAGGCAGUAGGACAAUUUCUUUUCUAAGAGAGGGACCCGCGUUAGGAUGGAGCUUUGAAAAGGGAAACACAGCUUCAUCAAAAACAACAUCACGGGAGAUGUAAAUGCGUCCAGUGGAGAUAUCAAGGCACUUAAAACCUUUGUGCAUGGAACUAUAGCCAAGGAAAGCACACUGAGUGGAUCGAAAAGAUAACUUCCUGGAAUUAUAUGGCUGCAGAUUGGGCCAACAAGCGCAGCCAAAAACACGAAGAUUGCUAUAAUCGGGUGCAUCAUAAAAAAGGCGAGUACUAGGAAUUUCAAAAUCAAUAACCUUGCAGGGAAGAAUAUUAAUGAGAUAGGUAGCUGUAAGGAAAGCUUGAUCCCAAAAUUUUAAAGGCAUGGAAGCAUGAGCAAGGAGAGCUAAACCAACUUCAACAAUAUGUCUAUGUUUGCGUUCAGCGGCACCAUUUUGUUGAUGAGCAUGAGGACAAGACACACGGUGUGUGAUCCCAAUUUGCUUGAAGAAGGAAUUUAAUUUUUCAUACUCGCCUCCCCAAUCUGAUUGAACACAAAGAAUUUUCUUAGAGAACUGUCUUUCUACUAAGUUUUGAAAGUCUUGGAAAAUUCGAAAAACAUCAUAUUUAUGCUUCAACAAAUAUAUCCAAGUGUAUUUGCUAUAGUCGUCAAUGAAGCUAACAUAAUAGCUAUAACGCCCAACAGAGAUGGGUGCAGGCCCCCACACAUCAGAAUAAAUCAGAUCAAGAGGAGCACUAGAAAUUUUAUUGGAAACGGAAUAAGGCAGUUGAUGGCUCUUGGCCCUUUGACAUGAAUCACAAAUUGACUCAACAUUCUUGGAACUAGCACACGGCAAUUUAUUUGAGCUAAGGAUCUUCUGAACUAUGGGAGUAGCAGGGUGACCUAGACGACUAUGCCAUAACGAUGUAGAAGGGACAUGGACUCCAAAGACUUCAUUCUUUGACUCUAUUUUUUCUUUUGAUGGAAUGAGAGGAUACAGGCCACCUUUGCAUCUACCGUGAUGUAAAGUCCUCUUCGUUUCCUGAUCCUUAAUGAGAAAGAAAUCAGGGUGAAAUUCAAGAAAAGCAUUGUUAUCUUUGGCAAGUUUAUGAACUGAAAUAAGGCGUUUGGCAGAAGAGGGCACAUGAAGAAUAUUGUUCAGAUCAAGUUUACUGGAAGGGGUAUGAAAGACUAUAUGCCCAAUAUUACUAAUACUCAUACCUUUGCCGCUAGCGUUAUGAACUUGUUCAUUGCCACUAUAUUUGUCACGGACGGUCAUCUUGUCAAGUUCGCCGGUGAUAUGGUUAGUGGCCCCGCUGUCCACAUACCAACUUGUAUCAACACCAUAAGCUCCUGCAGGCCGCCCACGGUACUGGUUGUCUUCCUCAUAGCGAAAAUAGCAUUGAUUUGCUUCAUGAUUUGUCUUCUUGCAGAUUUGACACGGCACCUUCUUUGUGCCUUGCGAGCUGUUGCCUUGAGUAUUACUGGUGAAAUUCUGAUUGCUGUUUUGUCCAUUACGCCCUGAAUUGGAUCGACCUCCACGUCGACCACCAGAGCGACUACGGCUUCCACGACCACGGGAUGCCAUAUUAGCUGAAGACUGAAAUUGAUCGGUUCCUUGAUACAUCUCGAGCCGAAGAUCGUACUCCAUAAGUAGCGAAUAUAAUUCAGAAAGUGAAAGGUCUCCUGACCGGCCCAUCAUAGAGGAAACAAAGGGGUGAUAAUCAUAAUCUAAACCAUUAAUUAGGUGAGCAACCACCUCAUCAUCGUUGAUGACGACGCCGGCUGACGCGAGCUCAUCCUUGAUGUUUUGCAUCUUGUUGAAGUAGGCUGCCAUGGUAAGACUACCCUUCUUGGUGGUGGCCAAUUGCAUGCGCAGAUUCAUAAUCCGCACUCUUGAUUGUCCUGCAAACAUAGCCCCUAACGCCUUCCAUGCCUGCACAGAGGUUGUUGCAGUCGUGAUCCCGGCGAGGACCUCCUUGGAGACCGAAUUCACCAGGUAGCUGAGUAGCUGUUGAUCUUUUUCCACCCAUGAGUCAUGCUCUGGGUUGGGAAUUUCCUUCUUCUUGCCGUUGACUUCAGCUUCAAGUACUUGUCGCGGCUCAGCGAUAGUUCCAUCCAGGAUUCCAAGCGCCUUGGCGCCUCGACAGCAGGCAGGAACUGAGUUUUCCACAGGACAAAGUUAUCCCGUGUAAGCUUGUCCACCACCGGAUGUCCGAAAGGAGAGGAUUGGUGCCUUCCAUCAUGAGAAGAAGACGAUGACAUCUUGUUUGUCGUAUAGGAGGAGCGUCACAAUCUUGAGUUGCGCUCUUCUGUUGCGACGUUGCGGGGAGGAGCGUCACGAGCAGCGUCGCGGCCCCCUUGUCGCGAGGAUGUGUUGAUAGGAUUUUUUUUUCUUUAGAUCUAUUCUAGGAAGAGGCGGCUCUGAUUACCACGAAAGAUUAUGGGGUAACUAUGGUUGCCUAUCUUGGCUCACCAUAGGUUGCAUGUUUAUAUAUAUAGAACAAGAAUUACAGAUAUAGAUAGUUUAAACUAGGACUCCUAACUUAAGUUCUAUUCUAUCUAUUGCAAACUACAGGAGUCCAUCUAUCUAUGAGACAUGUUCGGUUACAACUCUAGUAUAACACGUUUACAAUCUCUAACACGCACUAGCGACCCAAGAUGUGGUUUAAUUGAUCAGCUAGUGAUGGCAUCCGUAUGCAUGUACCAGUAGUGUGCACUGUCAUUGCUUUUGUGACAAGGUUUGUUGAGCAUACCUCGUGUGAGUCGAGACAGGGCUUGACCUCCAUGGACCAGGUUGUCCCAGAGGCCGGCACAUGGAGGAGUUUGUUGAGUCUGAACCAAAAUACUCCAUGUCCAUGGUUUGAAAGGAAGUCUGAACCCUGGUUCACGUGUCCACCUCAGAAAAUGAGGAUUUUUACGGUACACUAUAUUAGACUAUACUAAUAUUAAAAAAGGACUAGUAUAAAAAUACGAUGGUUCAGAUUAAUUGUAUACUACUGGAAACUUCAGCUGUAAUAUAGAUAAUAUAUGUGAGUAGUAUAUGUGGUACAAGGAUAUUUUAGGGAAAGGAUUUUUGACCGUUGUUUUUUUCAGUAGUUUUUUUUACAUUGUUGUAGGGCUCCAUUUCAUUUGGAAGUUCACUCCUAUCCUGUUCACCUCUUCCACUCACGUGACUGACGGCGGCGGUGCAUAUCAUGGGAGUGGCGGCGUGCGGGUCCUCGAGAGCGCCGGGGAGGGCAAGUAAGCAGCGGCACGCGGCGCCACUCGAGCAGUGUCGAGCGGCCUCCUCUCGCGUGACUGGCGGCAGCGGCGGCGACAGCAUGGGUCGCGGGAGCGACAGCAUGCGGAUCCACGAGAGCACUGUAGAGGACGAGUGAACGGCGAUAGGGACGGAUCGGGGGGCUAACUCCAUUGGAAGCAAGGGAAGAGGAGGAGGAGAGAGAAAAAGAAGAAGAAAAAAGAGGAAGGAGGGGUGGAGAUGGAGAAGAAGGAAGAAGAAAACUCCCUGGCAACGGCACUGAACAACGGCGCAGGGGCUGCUCAAGCAAACUUGAAAAAUGAAUCUUAACCGAAACAAACGCGUCAACUAACUUGAAAGGCAAGCUCGCAGAUUACAUGUACGUCUAAUUGAUUACACGUACAUCUAAUAUUACCUAACUCGUAAACUUGGAAGAAUUAAACAGAGAUAAAAUUCCUAACUUGCAAACAUGAAAAACUAAUCGAUCCUUAAUUAAUAUCUUAGUACAAUUACUAUAUUACCCCUUACUAAUGAAUGCUCAGAACUUUUUUACUACGUAUAUACUACUGAGUGGUAGUAUUAUGCAUCGGAAAAGGGUUCGAAGAGGGAGUCUGAGCUACUACGUCGGAUCGGCCAACGUAGCAGCAGUGUUAGCGCGUGUCGUCUGUCGCCGCGAGCUGCUGCCCACGGCGGCACGACCGUGCCAUGGUACGGUAGGUAGGGUCCAGGGAAAGCAAAGCAACACGUCUUCGUGGGCACAACGACGGACGGACUCAAAACGCAGGUCGGUGAAAUUAAAAACCCUGCAUACAUCUUGUAUUCCUGUUGGGAUAGAAGCAAACGCAGGGAAGAUUGAGAAGCACAAUACAGGCACACAGCCAUGCAUACGUGACACCAACACGCUAGGCAGUGGUAAUAACUCUAAAAAGGAAAGUAGCUGUGACAUCAGUCUUAAUGGGAUUUCAUCAUAGGGAGUUUCAUCGACAUUACAUUCUAACUAUCUUGGAAAAAACGGAAUGUGCUUCACAUUACGGAUUCAGUAGACACUGUCUUGUCCAGUUGUUCCUAUCUUCGUUUGCUAAAAUGACUUUCAUUAAUUUUCUUUGCUGCUAACCUUGAAAAGCAUACACAACCUCCUGCUUUUACACCCGGAUUCGUACUGUCAACGAGCAACUGGUUGGAACUGGGACAAAAACAAGGUGCUCCCAAUUCCAGAACCUUUUACGAUAUGCCAUGUUGCUUCGACCGUGCACACCUCGUUACGUUUAACCAGUCUUUUGGUAUGCAUGUGCUACUAUGCUCACCGACGAGUUUCUCCUUCCAAAACUACACUGGUUUUUUGUCUAAAACUUCAAUCGUCACUGGUUUUGUCUAAAACUCCCUAUACGAUGUGUGUAACAACGGCAUAACUGUAAAUAUCAAAGGCUAUAUGCUUCUGCAGAAGCAAAGGCGAGACACUUGUUUUAUUUUCUUUUGAACGGAAGACACUUGUUUUAUUCUAUCAAUCAAAGAUCACAUUAACUGUAAAUCACCCUAUCUUUCGUGAGUUACAACUUACAACGAACACAGUAAGCAUUUUUUGGCGGAAUUUUGCUGGAAAAGUUGUUGUAACUAAGAUCUAAAACACCUAGGUUUGUACAAUUACUGAAUCCUGGAAUGGAUCCAUUCAGGUUGUUAGCUUGGGGACUGAUUUGCAGCGAACAAGGGCAGUUUGAAAAUAUAUUUGGUGGGACCGGACCGUCGAAACCAUUGCGGCUAAGAUCUAUGUAACUUAAUCCCUUGCAAUUUCUGAAUUCAGGAAUAUGCCCGCUGAAAUUGUUGCCCUGAAGAAUGAAUCUCUCCAAACUUGGGCAGUUCGAAACCCCGGAUGGGAUGCUACCAGUGAGAUGAUUAGAGCCCAAGUCCAGAAUUCUCAAUGUUUUCCCUGAACAAAUGUUUGGCGGAAUCCCACCAACAAAACUGUUGUUGGUGAAAUCAACCUUGACUAAACGGCUGUUAGCACCCAGUCCCGGUGGUAUGGCUCCGGUGAAGAAAUUAUCAAACAGUGUAAUGUUCUGCAGGAACUUAAGCUCAGCAAGCACAGAAGGUAGCUUCCCAGUAAGACCAUUUCGAUAGACGAGGACACUUUGAAGGCUUUGGAUGCCCCAUAUAUUUUCAGGAAACUCCCCUGUGAGAUGAUUUUCAAAAAGGAACAGCUUCUGCAAGUUCCUCAAGUUUGCUAGUUCUUUUGGAACAGUGCCCUCAAGCUGGUUUGCAUCCAACUCCAGCCACAAAAGCAAUUCACAGUUGCCAAUUUCAGUAGGGAUUGGACCAGACAAAUUGUUUUGAGAAAGUAGAAGAUAAGUGAGGUUUCUCAGUAAACCAACUGUAGGUGGUAUCUGUCCGGACAGACUGUUGUUGACAAAUGCAAGCUGCGUCAAGCUGCUGCAGUUCCCUAACCAUUUUGGUAUCUCCCCUCUGAUUUGAUUGAAUGACAGGAUGAAUAUUUCCAACUUGCAGCUAUUCUCAAAACUGAAAGGAAUCUCGCCUCUGAAGCUAUUGUUUGUGGCAUCAAAUAUCCUGAGGCCUUCGAUCUUGCUCAAGGUUUCAGGAAGACUGCCGCUCAGUUGAUUAUUGAGUAGAUAGAGGACCUCCAACUUGGUGCAGUUACCAAUCGAAGCGGGUAAAACCCCAGAUAACAUAUUAUCAUGCAACCACAAGGACGUAAGGCUUGUCAUUUCACCAACCGAGAAGGGGAUCGAACCACUGAGCUGAUUGGAAUGGAGGUACACUUGCUCCAGAAACUGGUUCUUGAACAACUCCUCUGGUAUAGUUCCACUCAGCAAGUUACUGUACAGUGAUAGCUGUGACAAUCGCUUGAGGUUUCCCAUUGAUGCUGGUAUAUUGCCAGAAAGGAAAUUUUGGGAGAGAUCC